GUAGGCCCCCAAAACUGUUACAUUAGGUUCUGCUCAACAAGUGUGUGUGUGUGUGUGUGUGUGUGAUAAUCUUUGCAUAUGUGUGUGUGUGUGUGUGUGUGUGUUAGUGUGUGUGUGUGUGUGUGUGUGUGUGUGUGUGUGUGUGUGUGUGUGUGUGUGUGUGUGUGUGUGUGUGUGUGUGUGUGUGUGUGUGUGUGUGUGUGUGUGUGUGUGUGUGUGUGUGUGUGUGUGUGUGUGUGUGUGUGUGUGUGUGUGUGUGUGUGUGUGUGUGCGUGUGUGUGCUGGCAGACCCAUGCUAUGUGCACAUAUGUCAAGUGUCUUUGUGUGUAUGGGCCCUAUUUUAACGGUCUGAAAGGCAAGUGAGAAGCGCCAAGCGCAAGUAGCUUUGUGGGCGGUUCUAUGACUCUUGCACCCGGCGCAAAUCUAAAAAGGGUUGGUCUGAAGUAGCCUAAUUACCCGUAUGUGUGGUUUGGGCGUAACGUGCAAUAAACCAAUGAGAGUGCCAGCUCCCAUCCCCUUUAAGAGCCAUGAGCACAUUUGAAUCUGACAAGUUAAUAUUUUGACAGCGCGUCUGCAGUCUCCGAUGAGACAGAUGCAAAUGAAUUUCAAACUUCAAAUGGCUCAGUUUAUGGCCAACUAAUAUGGCCUAAAUCACACAUGGAAUAAGGUUUUCUUCCACAACUCCAAAUACUGAGUCCUGUUUAAUGUGGUUCUAUUUAAUGAUAUUUAAUGAUAUACAUUACAUUCUAAACAUUGUACAUUAUACAUUCUAAACAUUGUUUCUUAUCAGUAUUAGUAUCCAAUCAGUAUCCUAAUAUGCAUUUGUCCCCCCGUUAAUAUACAUUGACAUGGACUGUAUUAUGCGUUAAGUGUUUAGUUUGUGUGUGUUUAAACAGAUGCACACACGCGUGCCCGCAUUCAUUCAUUAUUUUUAAUACCCACCCGCGGUAAAACAAUGUUUUCACACAAUCAAAUACUCAUCAAUCCUAUAAGUUAUGAGCAUGUACACGAUGUCUGUGUCAGGAAAAUAUGUGUUUGCUGUAUGGUGUUUGCAGAUGCAUUGAUUUAAAAGUACAACUUAUUACCGCUGUAUCAUCUGUUCUUUCUCAAAUAAUUUACCAAGAAUGUGUGGCUAGGUAGAUGAGAGAAGCAAAGUGUAUUCGCGAGGUGCACAAGCAACAUUAUGCAUGCGCCCUUAAAAUAGCAUCUGAACAACGCGCCACUGACUUUAAACCAGGUUUUUCCUGGUUUGUGGCACAAGUGGUUUCUGAAACGUCAAAAUAGCACCAGGGAAAGUUUGCGCCAGAACAUCCUCCUUUCGCCGAGCCGCCCCUUGGGGCGCAAGAUCAUUCUCUAAUUUACGGACACGUGGCGCAGGAGGGAAAAGAACGCUCUGCGCCAGUUGCAAACUAGCAACGACACAUGCACCAGUGAUUAAGUCAAUUGCGCCGGAUGCAAGAUAGGGCCCUAUGUGUUUUAACGAUAUUGUGUUUGUGGGAUUAAGUGUGUGAACGAUUGUGUGCCUGUGAUUAUGUGAUAGUGUCAUUGUCCGCCCCUGGUUUUCCCAUUCACCUGCCUGCCACCCUGAUCCCCCCUAAUUAACCCAACCACCUUCACUUGUGCUCCUCCUAUAACAGUCCUCUCCUUUCACUCAGUCCUUGCAGAUUGUCUCUUGUUUCAUUCAGAGCUUUAACACAACUCCCGAUUGACUUUGUCUACUCCACUCUACCUGUUAACGAACCCUCACAUGUCUGACCUCCUGCCUGCCGUCCAGUCCCUGUUUGUCUGUCUGCUCCUCUGUCCCCGUCUCCUGAUCCACCUGCCUGACUUCCUAUUAUCGACCCUUUGUUUACCUGACCUCCAGCCCGACGUCGAGUCUCUGUUGGUCUGUCUGCUCUCCAGUUCCCGACUCCCGAUCUGCUCUUCUGCCCUCCCGUUGCCAACUCCUUCCCUGCUGACCCAACGACGAUUCCCUGCCCACCUGUUGCACAUUUCAAACCAAACUGACGCCAAUGGAUACAUCAUAGCAAAGGACAACCUGGGGAUGGAUCCUGCCAAGGUCUCCGCUGCCACCUCCUGGGUCCCCCCGGAAACACGCAAGCAGCUGUAGCGUUUCUUGGGGUUUCGCCAACUUCUGCCGGCGCUUCAUCAGAGGAUUCAGCUCCAUUGCUUCUCCCCUCUCGGCCCUCAACUCACCCAAGGUCCCCUUCCAUUGGUCUAACGAGGCACAGAACUCCUUUGAGACCCUCAAGACCCGCUUCACCACUGUCCCCAUCCUUCAGAUCCUUGAACCCGGCCGGCAGUUAAUUAUGGAGGUGGACGCAUCCGGUGUGGGAGUAGGGCCAUUCCUCUCCCUGUGUUCUUCCACCGACCAGAAAAUCCAGGCCCUGCGCCUUUUUCUCUUGCCGUCUAACCCCCUCGGAGAGAAACUACGAUAUUGGCAACAGGGAGCUUCUGGCGGUGAAGCUGGCCUUGGAGGAGUGGAGGCACUGGCCAGAAGGAACCAAUGUUCCGUUUUUGGUCGGGACCGAUCACCGGAACUUAGAGUAUAUCCGGUCCGCCAAGAGGUUGAACUGCAGACAGUGCCGCUGGUCACUGUUCUUCGGUUCAACUUCACAUUGUCCUAUCGACCCGGUUCUCGUAACCUAAAACCUGAUCUCUCCAGACAGUUCCCAGAGUGUCCCGAUGAGACGGUCAAGCCUUCCACCAUCGUCCCAGCCUCCUGCCUCGUCGCUUCCAUCACCUAGGAGAUAGAGGAGAAGGUACGAACCGCCACUCUGGACCAGUCAGCUCCCAGUUCCUGUCCCCCUGACCGCCUGUUUGUCCCGUCACACCUCCGUUCUGACAUGCUCCAGUUGGGCCAUGCUUCCCGGCUCAACUGCCAUCCCAGCAUCCAGCGGACCCGGGACUUCCUGCGAGGGCGCUUCUGGUGGCCGUCACUGGAAGAGGAUGUCCGGAGCUUCGUCAACGCCUGUCCUGUUUGUAACCAGAAUAAGACCUCUCGCCGCCCACCUGCCGGCUUCCUGCACCCCUUGCCCAUCCCCCAUCGUCCCUGGUCGCAUCUCUCUGGACUUUGUGACUGGUUUGUCUGCAUCCAAGGGCCACACCGUCGUCCUCACCCUCGUAGAUCAAUUUAGUAAAUUGGCCCAUUUCUUCCCCCUUUCAUCCUCCCCUCUUCCAGAGAGACUGCGGAACUGCUCCUCCACCACGUCUUCCGCCUCAAUGGGUUACCUACAGAUGUCGUCUCUGACCGGGGGCCCCAAUUCACCUCGGUAUUCUGGAGGGAAUUCUGCAGCCUAGUCGGGACUACCGCCAGUCUAUCUUCCGGCUUCCAGCCCAAGUCCAAUGGACAGACCGAGAGGGUCAAUCAAGAUCUGGAGACCACCCUCCGAUGCCUGGUGAACCGCAAUCUGGCUUCCUGGUCCGGCCAACUGGUAUGGGUAGAGUAUGCGCAUAACACCCUUACCUGCUCAUCCAACGGCCUCUCUCCCUUUCAGUGCGCCUAUGGGUAUCUGCCACCCCUAUUCCCCGACCUGGAGAAGGAGUCCUCCAGCCUCUCGGCUCAAGCCCUGAUCCGUCGUUGUUGACGCACCUGGACCCUGGCAUACACUGCUCUCUCCGAGUCUGCAGAUCAACACGCUACUGCUGCCAACAAACACAGCACGCCGACCCCUGCCUACCAACUUGGCCAGAAGGUCUGGCUCUCAACCCAUGAUCUGCCCCUUAAAGUGGAGAGUCACAAGCUGGCCCCCAAGUUCAUAGGACCAUUUCCCAUAACCUACAUCAUUAACCCAGAGGCGGUACGCCUUCAGCUUCCUCGUUCCAUGAGGAUCCACCCAACUUUCCAUGUCUCCAGGGUCAAACCCGUCCAGACCUUCCGAGGAGAAGGCACUCAGAUGUCGCGUCCUCCUCGUCAACGGAGGACGCUAUCUCCGAUGCCUCCAAGUAAUUCUAACCCUCCUCCGCGGCCCCUCCACCCUCCCUGUUUGAUCUAGGACGUCUGGUGCCGUCCCUUGCCGGGGGGGGGGGUGGGUACUGUC
ensembl:lncRNA